UUUUUAUUAAAUUCUCUAUUAGCUGAUUCCGUUGUUGAUCUUUCCGACUCAGAUUUUGAAUCUUCUGUAGCACAAUAUGACACAUCUUUGGUCAUGUUUUAUGCCCCAUGGUGUGGUCAUUGUAAGAAACUCAAACCCGAGUUCGAAAUAGCAGCUAAAAGUUUACUGAAAGAAGAUCCUCCAGUUACAUUAGCUAAGGUGGAUUGUACUGAAGCUGGAAAAGAAACUUGCAACAAAUUUGGCGUCUCUGGAUAUCCUACACUUAAAAUAUUCCGAAAUGGAGAAAUGUCUAAAGAGUAUAGUGGUCCCA